rnacentral:rRNA from 1 species
CCUACGGGGGGCAGCAGUGAGGAAUAUUGGUCAAUGGGCGGGAGCCUGAACCAGCCAAGUCGCGUGAAGGAAGAAGGUACUUAGUAUUGUAAACUUCUUUUGUCGGGGAACAAAGGCGGAGACGCGUCUCCGGAUGAGUGUACCCGAAGAAAAAGCAUCGGCUAACUCCGUGCCAGCAGCCGCGGUAAUACGGAGGAUGCGAGCGUUAUCCGGAUUUAUUGGGUUUAAAGGGUGCGUAGGCGGGCUUUUAAGUCAGCGGUAAAAAUUCGGGGCUCAACCCCGUCCGGCCGUUGAAACUGGGGGCCUUGAGUGGGCGAGAAGAAGGCGGAAUGCGUGGUGUAGCGGUGAAAUGCAUAGAUAUCACGCAGAACCCCGAUUGCGAAGGCAGCCUUCCGGCGCCCUACUGACGCUGAGGCACGAAAGUGCGGGGAUCGAACAGGAUUAGAUACCCGAGUAGUC